UUGUGGCAAUGCUCCAAAGCACACACGAAAUGGAGAGAUGGGACAGAGAGUCAGACUGUUAUUCAAAUGGUGCAUUCCAAGGCAUUUCAAUCCAACUGGCUUUUCAUUUAGGAAAUGCACUGUUUAAAAAAAUAACACUCAAAGGAUGAACCAUUGAAACAAUAAAAGAUCAGACUCCUACAUGCUUUAUUUUGGAGCAGUUCCAAAUGGGAGUGGGUGUGGAGGAAAACAGACAAGAACAACAAUGGAAUUUGGACACGAGUCUGGGGAGAUCAUCAUCUGAGAUUUGGCAAUGCUGAAGGAACAGCCACAGGAAAUGGAGAGGCCAUCUGGCAGUCAGUCAACAGGAAGACUAUAUGUGCAGCUGACAGAUACAUCAGGACACAAUAGCAGAUAAGG